rnacentral:misc_RNA from 1 species
GAAGUAUGCAACUCCUUCCCAGGCCCAGAAGUUGAUUGAAGACACUGCUGCUUUACAUCUCGGGGAAAGGAAUGAACAGAUUGCAUGUGCAGUUUUAUUGAAAAGCUACUUUUCCUCAGCUGCUGAUGUUUUGGGUGGAUAUAAUGAUGUGAUUGUGCCAGUAAUAUUUAUUUCAAGAUUUGAGGAUGAAAAAUCUGUUUCUAAUCUGUAUGAAGAAAUGUGGGAGGAAAAUAUGAGUAGUGAACGAGUUACUCUUCAAUUGUACUUGGGGGAGAUCGUUGAGCUUAUCAGUGGAGGAAUUAUGUCAUCCUCAUGGUCUCGAAAACAGAAGGCUGCUCAGGCAGUAAGUAAGCUCUGUGACAUCCUUGGUGAGGUGGUUUCCUCACAGCACCAUGUACUCCUCUCAUCCCUCUUGAAAGAAAUCCCUGGACGCAUAUGGGAGGGAAAGGAUGCAGUACUCUCUGCAUUGUCUGCACUCUGUAUGUCGUGUCAUAAAUCAAUUUCUGCUGCUGAUCCUGACAUUCCAGAUGCCAUUUUGAGUCUUAUAUUAUCUGCAUGUUCAAAGAAAACAAAGAAGUAUCGUGAAGCAGCUUUCUCCUGUCUUGAGCAGGUUUUAAAGGCGUUCAAUAAUCCAGACUUCUUCAAUAAAGC